CCAACCUCGUCACCAGAAAACUGUGUUUGUGCCUGAAUGAGGAAUCUCAGAAUCAGUGGAUCUCUUUGCGAGAGCUUCUCUCGCUCUCUGCUCAGCCGUUCUCAGUCAGUGAGCUCUGGGCUUUAUGCUACAUGUGUCUCUCCACGCUACAGACCUACAUCGACCUCCCAGACUACCUGUGUCUGGACUCUGUGUAUGUGGGCUGUGAAGGAGAGAUGCUGUUUCUGAGACCUAAAAACUCAG